UCUCCCUCCCUGUUAUUUCCUUCCCCCACCAAGGGCUUGUCCCUGUUGCAUUCACAUUUUUCCUUUUUUUUUUUUUUUUCUUUCUUCUUAUUUCUUUCCCCAGGCACCUGCUGAGCCAACUUUCUAGUGGUUUUCCAUUCCCUUAAUACUUAAAAAACCAGUUUAGAGGACAGGACUACAGCACAGCUUCCAAGGGGAAGAUGCACUCAUCCACAGAGCCAGUGAGAAGGAAAAAAAGCAAGAAGUUUGGAAUAGUGAAUGAUUUGACAGUGAUCAUAUUUUUUUUUUUUUGCCACAAAUUUUGGUGUCUCUGCAUUCCUUUUCUUUGUUUUUCCUUUUUUUUUUUCCUUUCUUUCCCAUUGAAGCCCCACUUCACAUAAUUAGUGCCUGAUCCUCAUCCAUGUGCAGGUUCAGGAGGGUCUCAGAAGCAGCUGAAUUGCAGCUGAGGUCUACCCGUGGUCAGUGAACACCAUGAAGCAUCUCACACUUUCCAUUCUGGAAUCACACAUCUCUGAUAAUCCCUGCAGGCACCAAACAGUCUGAGAUGUCGAGAGUUACCCCAGCAUGGCUGCUUCUGGACUUUUCUGCUGCGGAGGACCUGAAGAAGCUCACAGAUGAGACAGAGCCUUUUCCAGAGAAAAUUCAGGAGACAUUUUGGCCUCGUAAGAAGCCUUAAGCUCUUCAGAGGAAGAUGCUAAGGGAAGUGGUGAAGUGACAACUCCUGUCUCCUCUCCUUAAUCCUGUCAGCCUUGGGAUUUCAACAUGAGCUGCUGAGAUGGGAGCAUCAUCUUGAUUUGGAGCUCCAGUCCAGGAUCAGUGCUUGCAGCCCGUGCCUCGAAUCCUGCAGGACGCUGGAGCCACCCUGAGAAACACGGCCUUGAAACACACCCUUCCCCAGUCCAGCCAGCAGGACACUGGGAAUGGGGGCUGGAAGGUACCUUCAGCCAGGUGGGGGAUCCUGAGAGAGGUUUCAGUCUGCAGGGAGGAACAGCAAGGUGUGACAGGGCUGGCUUUGUGCGGCUCAUUACGCUCCCGUCGCCAAUUUCUAAACGGAGUCCUGGCGCUGAGACAGACCAGGUUUGCUUUUACUAAAAACAGAGGGGUGGGUUUUUUAUUUUUCUUGUACCAAAGUAUGUAACUUUAGAUGGCCAUCUCUGUGCCUGGUCACCUCUGAGAUUUUAAAUUUAUUUUUUUUCCACUGACAUUCACCUUGAUAAGCUACAAAGAGGUAAAAACUACUCUGGCUUGCUGUGUCUUGACUAGUGUCUUGCUUUGAUAGAAAUCCUCAGGGUAAAAAAAACACCUUGUGCAGCAAAAGCAAAGGCUGAAGUGGCUUUCAUGAAGCAGGCUUAGUUCCCCUGGAGGACUGACAUCCCCAUUUUUGAGACCUAAUUGCAUGAAGUCUCCUGUGAUAAUUUCUUAGACAGCGAUGAAAAGCAGCUGGAGCCAGCCUCUGGCAUUGAGGGGUACGAGCCCAGCGGGUUGGAGCAGUGUCUUGAGAGGGCAACAAAGAGAUCCAAAGCCUCGGACAACAGUGAUCCUGUCGGAUGUGGUUAAAGCCUCUCUUCAUCCAUUGCUAGCACAGGUCCCUGGGGGUGAUCAAUAUUAAAAUGCUUCCCUUGAAGGUGUGCUUCCUGUGCAAUUUGGGACGAUAUUGUGAUGAUAAAGGAGUGCUUUUGUGUUAAGUGAUUGUGUGUUUGGAGCGGAGGCAGUGUUUGUGAGAGCCCUGAGUCUGACACGGGGCUGAUGACAUCAGCCUGGCCACACAGGGUGAUGGCAAGGACCCAUCAGCACACACCUGUGCGGAGGGACCACAAACCAGACCCCCUGCAGCAGGAGCCUGAACAUUUUGUGUUCCCCCUUUUCACUCCACAUUACAGGAUCAGGUGAGGCUGUGCUUGCUCCCACUUCCAGCGUUCCCAUUCCUUGCUUUCCCAGUGAUCCAAUGCCUCAGCCCCCGGGCUCAGCUCGUAGCAGUGUGUGGGGUAUUGAUUCCUGCUCCACAGAACGAUAGCCUUCGAAGGAUGGCUGGGCAUAAUGAGCUGGGCAGCUGCCAAUUGUUCCAUGUCACCAGCAGCUUGUGACUCUCCGUGUGUCAAAGCUUUGCUGCCCCUCAGUACUUCAGAUGGCUUUGUGUCUGUAAGAGCAGGCACAAUGUCUCAGCUUCUUGGGGUGCACCUACAUCUUCUGAACCCUUUUUGAAGCUAUUUCUGCAUUUGAUUUGGCAGCCUAAAACUCACAGAAGGGAAGAACAUAGGUUUGGAGGCACGCAACCCCUACGUUUAACGUGGACAUCACAGCCCCCUCAUAAACCCUAAGGAACAAGCAGUUUUGAAAGCCCUCUGCAGAAUUGAUUUAUCAUUUUCUGCAGCAUCAGCAUCGCUUUGAAGAACAAGGGGCUUUGUAAUGUAGUUGUACAUUAUUCCUAAAAGUGCCUCGUGGGAGUGGAUGAUCGCUCAAGAUGCUUUAUAAUUUAUUCCUUUUCACGUUUUUCAGCUGUGCAGUAAAACAUUUGUGAAUAUCCCGGAAUGAGGGUCCUUCCAGAUGGCAUUGACAUGCACCAGGCUCACAUGAAAACUCUCACAUCACCUGCAGUAAGGAGAAAAAGAAGGGUAGGAAUGAGUCUCAGAAAUUCCCGAACUUACGUGGUUCAGGGUUUGAAACUCCUGAAAAGGUUUUAAACGCGGUAAUUUUGCUUCUUGAAUCCUCUUCACUCUCAGUAGUGUUGUUUCUGUUUAAGUACUUGAUAUGCUGGUUGAUGUUAAGCUGGUGGCAUCAGAUCCUACAGGAUUCCAAAAGCAGCUGUCCCAAAGUGUGAAGUUCCACUUGUAACUCGGAGAAGACCUCAAUGACCAAAUGUUUGCAAGGGAUUACAAGCCUCACUGGCCUCUUGCUGGUGAAAGCAGGCUUAUGUCAUCCCAAAUGCUUUUUGAGAGUAA